UACGGAGGGGGCUAGCGUUGUUCGGAAUUACUGGGCGUAAAGCGCACGUAGGCGGCUUUGUAAGUUAGAGGUGAAAGCCCAGGGCUCAACCCUGGAAUUGCCUUUAAGACUGCAUCGCUUGAACAUCGGAGAGGUAAGUGGAAUUCCGAGUGUAGAGGUGAAAUUCGUAGAUAUUCGGAAGAACACCAGUGGCGAAGGCGACUUACUGGACGA
rnacentral:rRNA from 1 species